ACAUAUUGAAACCCCAUAUCUACUAAAAUACCAAUAAUAAUAAUAAUAAUUACCUGGGCCCGGUGGCGGGGCAGCUGUACUCCCAGCUCCUCGGGGGAGCUGAGGGUGGGAGGUUUGCUUGAGCCCGGGAGGUCGAGCCUACAGUGAGCUGAGAUUGUGCCACUGCACUCCAGC